AUUGAACGCUGGCGGCAGGCCUAACACAUGCAAGUCGAGCGGAUGAUGAGAGCUUGCUCUCUGAUUCAGCGGCGGACGGGUGAGUAAUGCCUAGGAAUCUGCCUGGUAGUGGGGGACAACGUUUCGAAAGGAACGCUAAUACCGCAUACGUCCUACGGGAGAAAGCAGGGGACCUUCGGGCCUUGCGCUAUCAGAUGAGCCUAGGUCGGAUUAGCUAGUUGGUGAGGUAAAGGCUCACCAAGGCGACGAUCCUUAGCUGGUCUGAGAGGAUGAUCAGCCACACUGGGACUGAGACACGGCCCAGACUCCUACGGGAGGCAGCAGUGGGGAAUAUUGGACAAUGGGCGAAAGCCUGAUCCAGCAAUGCCGCGUGAGUGAUGAAGGCCUUAGGGUUGUAAAGCUCUUUUACCCGGGAUGAUAAUGACAGUACCGGGAGAAUAAGCUCCGGCUAACUCCGUGCCAGCAGCCGCGGUAAU
rnacentral:rRNA from 1 species